GACAUAUGGAUGGUGUUCUAAUUAAAAAACGUACGUUGGAAAGAAGGAAUGAAGGGAGCAGCUUUAGGCGUAAACGUAGGUGCCUUUGCAGACAUCGACAGUUUAGAAGUCUGCUUGGCGAGUUGCUCAUCCUGUUCACCGUUAUUUGGCUGAUUACUAGCCAUUUUUUGCCUUUAUUAAAAUAUGUGGUAAAGGGACGGUGAUGUUGAAGAGAAUUUACAC